rnacentral:rRNA from 1 species
UAGCGAAAUUCCUUGUCGGGUAAGUUCCGACCCGCACGAAAGGCGUAAUGAUUUGAGCGCUGUCUCGACAAUGCACCCGGUGAAAUUGAAAUACCAGUGAAGAUGCUGGUUACCUGCGCCAGGACGGAAAGACCCCAUGGAGCUUUACUCCAGCUUGAUACUGGGAUUCGGUAUUGCAUGUACAGGAUAGGUGGGAGGCUUUGAAGUGGUUACGCCAGUAGCCAUGGAGCCGCUGUUGGGAUACCACCCUUGCAGUACUGGGUUUCUAACCAGCAGCCGUGAUCCGGCUGGGGGACAAUGUCAGGUGGGGAGUUUGACUGGGGCGGUCGCCUCCGAAAGGGUAUCGGAGGCGCUCAAAGGUUCCCUCAGAAUGGUUGGAAACCAUUCGAAGAGUGCAAAGGCAGAAGGGAGCUUGACUGCGACACCGACGGGUGGAGCAGGUACGAAAGUAGGACUUAGUGAUCCGGUGGUAUAAAGUGGGAUUGCCAUCGCUCAACGGAUAAAAGCUACCCUGGGGAUAACAGGCUUAUCACUCCCAAGAGUUCACAUCGACGGAGUGGUUUGGCACCUCGAUGUCGGCUCAUCGCAUCCUGGGGCUGAAGUAGGUCCCAAGGGUUGGGCUGUUCGCCCAUUAAAGCGGUACGCGAGCUGGGUUCAGAACGUCGUGAGACAGUUCGGUCCCUAUCCGGCGUGGGCGUAGGAUAUUUGAGAGGAGCUGUCCUUAGUACGAGAGGACCGGGAUGGACUGGCCGCUGGUGUAUCUGUUGUCUUACCAAAGGCAUAGCAGAGUAGCCAAGCCGGGAAGGGAUAAACGCUGAAGGCAUCUAAGCGUGAAGCCCCCCUCAAGAUGAGAUAUCCCUCCUUCGGGAGUAAGACCCCUUGAAGACUACAAGGUAGAUAGGGCAGAGGUGGAAGCAUGGCAACAUGUGGAGCUGACUGUUACUAAUAGGUCGAGGGCUUAAUCUG